rnacentral:rRNA from 1 species
AGCGAACGCUGGCGGCAGGCUUAACACAUGCAAGUCGAGCGGGCAUCCUUGUGGUGUCAGCGGCAGACGGGUGAGUAACGCGUGGGAACGUGCCCUUCGGUUCGGAAUAACUCAGGGAAACUUGAGCUAAUACCGGAUACGUGCGAGAGCAGAAAGGUUUAUCUGCCGAAGGAUCGGCCCGCGCCUGAUUAGCUAGUUGGUGAGGUUAUGGCUCACCAAGGCGACGAUCAGUAGCUGGUCUGAGAGGAUGAUCAGCCACACUGGGACUGAGACACGGCCCAGACUCCUACGGGAGGCAGCAGUGGGGAAUAUUGGACAAUGGGGGCAACCCUGAUCCAGCCAUGCCGCGUGAGUGAUGACGGCCUUAGGGUUGUAAAGCUCUUUUCUUCGGGACGAUAAUGACGGUACCGGAGGAAUAAGCCCCGGCUAACUUCGUG